UCCCUCUUUUAACCUUGAUAUCUUAUACUUGAGCGUCUUCUUUAUUUCUCACUCGAAAAUCAAUGAAAUUCUCCACCCAUCACUACCACCACCAUCUCAAUCGCCACCACAACCAACUUCACCAACACCAACACCAACACCAGAAUCGUCUCCAUCGCCAUCAUCACCAUCUCAGUGAGUUAUCACUCUUUAAUUUCACAUCUAAAAAAAUAUAUAUCUCUCCUGUCUUUCUCUUCGGAAAUCUCCACCACCAUCACCAUCUCCUCCGCCAACUUAUUCAGAUUUAAAUCGAAAAUUAUUAUCAGCAGUAGAUGGUUCAGAUUCAGAUAGACCUUCUUCUUGUAAAGAUUAAUUUCAAAAUCAAAUUAAAAAAUAUGGAGAUCUGAUUUUAGGUUUUGAUUUCUGAUAAGUUAGUCUCUAUUUCAAAAUCGAUGAUCACAGUUGGUUUUGGAAUUUAUUGAUUAUCUUCUUAUUUUGCUUUGAUGUUUUUGGUGGUGUUGGUGGUAUUGGUUAGAUUAAGAACGAAGGAAUUGAUGGAGAUUUCGGUGGUUCUGGUUGCAAUGGUGAAAUUUGGCAAUUGAGACAGUGGUGGUUAAGAUUGUUUGUUGUUGUUGUGGUGGUGGUGGUGAUAUCUUCUGGAUGGGAAAGAAGAAGAGUAUACAUAUGAUGGUGGUGGAGCUUAUUGCCAAGGUACCAUAGUGAUCUACAAGAAGCGAUUUUGUGGGGGGCCCUGUACCUCUAUUGCAGCAGGUACCAUGGUGAUCUACAAGAAGCUAUUCAUGUUAGAUUGAAGGAGCUGGGAUUCGAUUAUGGUGGUGGAAUUUGGUAUUGAUUUUUUGUUGCUAGUGGUGGAAUUUGGUAUUGGUAUUGGUAUUGAUUUUUUGUUGGUGGUGGAAUUUUCGUUGUACGUUCUGUAUGCUACUCACAUUUGAUUGGUAUUGAAUUUGUUUUUCAGUAUGUGGUACAUUUUUUUUCAGUAUGUGGUACAUUUCGACACAUUUAUUGUGGUUGGAGUAGUGGGAUAUGCUCCCUAGUUGGUAAUUCUAGCGAGUACCUGGUUGAAUUCUCUAACUGGCAUUUCUAUUGAGAUAUAUAAGUGUGUUCCUUACAAUUUCAUGUUGUGUACAGAAGUUGUUUAAAUUAUGCACUCAACCAACCUAGCCAGAAUCGUUGUUUAGCAUACAUUUUGGAACUGCAUGAAUACUUAAAUUAGUAUGAACUACUAUGUGUACUUGGACUGUUAUAAACUAGGUUGCAUUAUUAAUGAAAAUUAUUGUUGGAAGUAUUGGACAUAAUGUUUUUGAGCAGUGGCUUUUGGAUGGAAUAAUGAACCGACAUGUAGAGGACUUGAUUUUUGUAAAAAACAUUAAUAUAUUACUAUACCAGCUCUAGCUUACCAGAAACUAUCGAACAUUUCUUGCAUUUUGAUUCAGUUAAUUGUUCAUGUGAAUAAUGGCUUGCUAAUAGAAGAUGCAGCUGGAGAAUAAUUACCAAACAGUUCCCUUCAUUCCCUCUCUGUUCAUCUUCUUUAUUUUAUUCUCUUGAUUUUGUAACCAAGAAAAUUUCUAGCUUUACUGUAUUCUUAAUGGCUUCUUAGUGUGCAAAGGAGUCUUUUCUCUGAUGGAAGCAAGGUUCACCACUCCACUUGCAUUGUCUUUCCAUGGACUCACCACUCGCUGGUGUACAAUUAGUUAAGACAGAAUACUACAAGUCUACAUUUUUCGGUGCUUGAACCUUUCACUAAUUCCAUGUCUUGCAAGAUGUUACGGAUCUCUUGCAGGAUGCCACAGAUCCAAUCAGUGGUUGUUAUACUAUCAUAAUGGAUAAUCCGUCACCAUUCCAAUUGAAUGGUUUUGAAUCAUUUUCGCAAUGCUGGAGGCAGUGGAUGUCGCAAUGGAGAUGGUUUGUUGUGUUAGCAGUAGUGGUGAUGGUAGUGGAUGUUGUAGGUGUGGUGGGGUAGUUGCGGGAGACAAUAUGAACUUGUGUUGCAUGCGCGCAAACUACUAGGUAUGUAUGUGCAGUUUUAUACAUCAGUAGGUGUAGUAUAUGUAUUUGGAUGUUCAUUUUUUAUUGACGAACCUGUGGUGCAACGGUAGCACGACUGACUCCAUGUCAGAUGAUGUGUGUUCGGCGUGCGACUCACGCCAGGAUCACUUUUGUGUAUACUUUUUCUUUGUAGACAACUUAUCCUAGUUGCUUCCAUAUGUGGAGACAACUUGAGCUAGUUGCCUCCAUAUUUGUAAACAAUUUGAGCUAGUUGCUUUCAAAUAUGGAAAACAACUUGUUCCUACACACUAUUUAUUGGAGACAACUUGAGAUAGUUGCCUCCACUCUAGGAAACAACUUCACCAAGUUGCCUUCAGAUUUGGAGACAACUUCAACAAGUUGACUCCACAUAAUGGCGGUGGAAUUGGUGGUUGCUGGUGGUGAUUGGCGGCGGCGGUGAACGAAAGUGGUGGUGGUUGGUGGCGGUGG